ACUACGCAGACGCAAAGAGCCCGCAGCGCGCAAGGCACGCAGGGUCCAGGCCGCACUAAUCGCUUUGCCACGCCCCUCGUCCGCCACCUUUUCUCUUGGUUAUGUACGAUAGGGGAGCGAUUGGUUUUCCCUGAAUGCAAAACGCGUCCUCUCCCAGGCCUGGAGGGUUUCGGGGGAAGGAAGGAGGCCCAGCGGGCUGUCCCACUGCGAAAGAUCGGAGGGGGGAAGCCAGACUGGACGAGCCCAAAGAUAAAUAAAGCGGUUGGCUUUACUUUUUGGGGCUUCGCUUCCUGCUUGCUCCUGUCCUGUCUGGUGUCAGCCACUCUUGCUUCUUUAUCCUGGAGGUGGCAGUUGGAACAUUCUGGAAGCAGCAGUGGAAUCCAGUCUGCACUUAUUCCAACAUUUGCAGAACCAGCCUCGUUUUCUCCUCCUCAGAGACACCAGCCCUAGCGGAGCAGCACCCUCUCCUCAGAUGUCUGAGUUUCACCUCCCCGUGCCCCUCCUCAAGCAUCUACAUUUUAAUAAUACCACCCUACCAGUGGUAGCUACUUCCUGCAGUUGCUACUGUUAGUAUUAUACCCCGUCAGUUACCUAAACACAUCUUUAUACGUAGUUAACAAUCCUUUAUAUUAAAUUGUCUCAGUUAAAAACUA